CCUACGGGGGGCUGCAGUGGGGAAUAUUGGACAAUGGGGGGGAACCCUGAUCCAGCCAUGCCGCGUGUGUGAAGAAGGCCCUCGGGUUGUAAAGAACUUUCAGUGAGGAAGAACGCCUGGUGGUUAAUACCCAUCAGGAAAGACAUCACUCACAGAAGAAGCACCGGCUAACUCCGUGCCAGCAGCCGCGGUAAUACGGAGGGUGCGAGCGUUAAUCGGAAUUACUGGGCGUAAAGCGCGCGUAGGUGGCUUGAUAAGCCGGUUGUGAAAGCCCCGGGCUCAACCUGGGAACGGCAUCCGGAACUGUCAAGCUAGAGUGCAGGAGAGGAAGGUAGAAUUCCCGGUGUAGCGGUGAAAUGCGUAGAGAUCGGGAGGAAUACCAGUGGCGAAGGCGGCCUUCUGGACUGACACUGACACUGAGGUGCGAAAGCGUGGGUAGCAAACAGGAUUAGAUACCCUUGUAGUC
rnacentral:rRNA from 1 species